CUCUCUUUUCUUUUUUUCCCUUUUUUUUCUAGGGCUGGGCUUCUUCGAAAAUCGGGAAAAACUUAGCCAGCUCCUGCAAUUUAACCGUGCUUUUUAGGUUGGUUUUUCUUCAAAAACCUUCAAAAAGGUGAAAUCCGAUUGAUACAGGAUGAUGAUCAGAGCACACAAAAACGAGAGAGAUUAACAGAACCAACCUUUGCAAUUUAACCGUGUUUUUUAGGUUGGUUUUUCUUCAAAAAUCUUCAAAAAGGUUAAAUCCGAUUGAUACAGAAUGAUGAUCAGAGCACACAAAAACGAGAGAGAUUAACAGAACCAACCUUUUGAUCUUCAGAAGCCUCUACUAUAUGGG
rnacentral:lncRNA from 1 species